GAGAUUUUAAGUUAAAUAUAAACUAGUAACCUUCAAAGCUACCAAUAAAAGUUAAGUCUUA
rnacentral:tRNA from 1 species